UACGUAGGGGGCAAGCGUUGUCCGGAAUCAUUGGGCGUAAAGGGCGCGUAGGCGGCUCAUGAAGGCUGUGGUGAAAGUCCGGGGCUCAACCUCGGAUCGGCCGUGGCGACUCGUGGGCUGGAGCACUGUAGAGGCGGGUGGAAUUCCGGGUGUAGCGGUGGAAUGCGUAGAGAUCCGGAAGAACACCAGUGGCGAAGGCGGCCCGCUGGGCAGUGGCUGACGCUGAGGCGCGACAGCGUGGGGAGCAAACAGG
rnacentral:rRNA from 1 species